UUGUGUGAGUAAUUUUGUGAACGAGCUCAUGAAUGACUGUGUUUGUAGCCCCACGGGGAAACCUACGGGGCAUGAGAGGGCCCUAACCUGCGGAUCCUGUGUC